rnacentral:piRNA from 1 species
UGAAAUUUGUUCAUGACCUUACAACUUACC